rnacentral:tRNA from 1 species
AAAGAUUUAAUUAAAUGAUUUAAUAAUAUUAAUUUGUCAAAUUAAAAUUAGAUUACCCAAAUCUAGUCUUUA